AUUGAACGCUGGCGGCAUGCUUUACACAUGCAAGUCGAACGGCAGCGCGGGCUUCGGCCUGGCGGCGAGUGGCGAACGGGUGAGUAAUGCAUCGGAACGUGCCCAGUAGUGGGGGAUAGCCCGGCGAAAGCCGGAUUAAUACCGCAUACGACCUGAGGGUGAAAGCGGGGGACCGAAAGGCCUCGCGCCAUUGGAGCGGCCGAUGUCGGAUUAGCUAGUUGGUGGGGUAAAGGCUUACCAAGGCGACGAUCCGUAGCUGGUCUGAGAGGCCGACCAGCCACACGGGAACUGAGACACGGCCCAGACUCCUACGGGAGGCAGCAGGGGGGAAUUUUGGACAAUGGGCGCAAGCCUGAUCCAGCCAUGCGGCGUGGGGGAAGAAGGCCUUGGGGUUGUAAAGCGCUUUUGUUGGGAAAGAAAACCAGUGGGCUAAUACCCCGGGGUGAUGACGGUACCGAAAGAAUAAGCACCGGCUAACUCCGUG
rnacentral:rRNA from 1 species